GUCGAGCGGUAGCACAGAGAGCUUGCUCUCGGGUGACGAGCGGCGGACGGGUGAGUAAUGUCUGGGAAACUGCCUGAUGGAGGGGGAUAACUACUGGAAACGGUAGCUAAUACCGCAUAACGUCGCAAGACCAAAGUGGGGGACCUUCGGGCCUCAUGCCAUCAGAUGUGCCCAGAUGGGAUUAGCUAGUAGGUGGGGUAACGGCUCACCUAGGCGACGAUCCCUAGCUGGUCUGAGAGGAUGACCAGCCACACUGGAACUGAGACACGGUCCAGACUCCUACGGGAGGCAGCAGUGGGGAAUAUUGCACAAUGGGCGCAAGCCUGAUGCAGCCAUGCCGCGUGUGUGAAGAAGGCCUUCGGGUUGUAAAGCACUUUCAGCGGGGAGGAAGGCGGUGAGGUUAAUAACCUCAUCGAUUGACGUUACCCGCAGAAGAAGCACCGGCUAACUCCGUGCCAGCAGCCGCGGUAAUACGGAGGGUGCAAGCGUUAAUCGGAAUUACUGGGCGUAAAGCGCACGCAGGCGGUCUGUCAAGUCGGAUGUGAAAUCCCCGGGCUCAACCUGGGAACUGCAUUCGAAACUGGCAGGCUAGAGUCUUGUAGAGGGGGGUAGAAUUCCAGGUGUAGCGGUGAAAUGCGUAGAGAUCUGGAGGAAUACCGGUGGCGAAGGCGGCCCCCUGGACAAAGACUGACGCUCAGGUGCGAAAGCGUGGGGAGCAAACAGGAUUAGAUACCCUGGUAGUCCACGCCGUAAACGAUGUCGAUUUGGAGGUUGUGCCCUUGAGGCGUGGCUUCCGGAGCUAACGCGUUAAAUCGACCGCCUGGGGAGUACGGCCGCAAGGUUAAAACUCAAAUGAAUUGACGGGGGCCCGCACAAGCGGUGGAGCAUGUGGUUUAAUUCGAUGCAACGCGAAGAACCUUACCUGGUCUUGACAUCCACAGAACUUAGCAGAAAUGCUUUGGUGCCUUCGGGAACUGUAAAACAGGUGCUGCAUGGCUGUCCUCACCUCCGGUUGGGAAAUGUUGGGUUAAGUCCCGCAACGAACGCAACCCUUAUCCUUUGUUGCCAGCGGUUAGGCCGGGAACUCAAAGGAAACUGCCAGUGAUAAACUGGAGGAAGGUGGGGAUGACGUCAAGUCAUCAUGGCCCUUACGACCAGGGCUACACACGUGCUACAAUGGCAUAUACAAAGAGAAGCGACCUCGCGAGAGCAAGCGGACCUCAUAAAGUAUGUCGUAGUCCGGAUUGGAGUCUGCAACUCGACUCCAUGAAGUCGGAAUCGCUAGUAAUCGUAGAUCAGAAUGCUACGGUGAAUACGUUCCCGGGCCUUGUACACACCGCCCGUCACACCAUGGGAGUGGGUUGCAAAAGAAGUAGGUAGCUUAACCUUCGGGAGGGCGCUACC
rnacentral:rRNA from 1 species